CACGUAGGGGGCAAGCGUUGUCCGGAUUUAUUGGGCGUAAAGAGCUCGUAGGUGGUUCGGUAAGUCGGGUGUUAAACCCCCAGGCUCAACCUGGGGACGCCACUCGAUACUGUUGUGACUAGAGUCCGGUAGGGGAGCGUGGAAUUCCUGGUGUAGCGGUGAAAUGCGCAGAUAUCAGGAGGAACACCGGUGGCGAAGGCGGGUCUCUGGGCCGAUACUGACACUGAGGAGCGAAAGCGUGGGGAGCGAACAGG
rnacentral:rRNA from 1 species